GACGAACGCUGGCGGCGUGCUUAACACAUGCCAGUCGAACGGAAAGGCCCUGCUUGCAGGGUACUCGAGUGGCGAACGGGUGAGUAACACGUGGGUGAUCUGCCCUGCACUUCGGGAUAAGCCUGGGAAACUGGGUCUAAUACCGGAUAGGAGCCAUUUUUAGUGUGAUGGUUGGAAAGUUUUUUCGGUGUAGGAUGAGCUCGCGGCCUAUCAGCUUGUUGGUGGGGUAAUGGCCUACCAAGGCGGCGACGGGUAGCCGGCCUGAGAGGGUGGACGGCCACAUUGGGACUGAGAGACGGCCCAGACUCCUACGGGAGGCAGCAGUGGGGAAUAUUGCACAAUGGGCGCAAGCCUGAUGCAGCGACGCCGCGGGGGGGAUGACGGCCUUCGGGUUGUAAACUCCGUUCGCUAGGGACGAAGCUUUUUGUGACGGUACCUAGAUAAGAAGCACCGGCUAACUACGUG
rnacentral:rRNA from 1 species